rnacentral:lncRNA from 1 species
UUAACCAGUCAGCUUUGCAAUAAAAGUUCUAGAAAAAUUUGCCCCGCUAAACUUUCGUCUUCUUUCCAUUCAAAACUUACCAAAGAAUUCUUAACCUUUGGUCGACAUGGCUCCUUCAGCCUGCCUAGUUCCCAAGUGCUCAAGUUUCCUCCUCAACUCCUCCCUCGCCAUCCCUCACCACGAUCUGUCCACCAGCUCCAUCCCCCGCUCACGAUUGGCCACCCCAGCACCUGCCUGCUCAUGCUCUCCUGGAUCGAAUCCACCUGCAAUGGCUCAGGAAUCUGCUCAGGAAUGCAUCCAUAGAUGUUGGAGAAGUUCCCGCAACAAGCCAUUGCUCAAAAAAGAAUUGCAAAGGCAAGAAAGAUCUAGAACUUACACGCACCCGACCACUUGGCCCUGUGCAGGAUUGCGACUGGUAUCACGAAGCACCAUGCCGUGUCGCUGCUCUCCUGCUAAAUCAAUGUGGAAAUUGUACCUAGUCUCCGGCAAGAGGAUAGGGUCUCGCUGCUUUUGCCCAAGGCAAAGGGUGUAUAUUGCCUGCGAGAGAAGAGGAUUGAAUGACAAGAAGCUAGCCCUCCCUUCCUUGGUGAUUGCUAAGCACAUUAAAUUAAAACAUUGGCUAGUUUAAGAAGUUAGAUAAAUUAUAUUUUUGGAGUGGAAUAUAUUUAAAUAUUCUAGGAUAUUUUACCAUUUAAC